rnacentral:lncRNA from 1 species
GUGGGAUGCUGCCUCAGCGUGGCUUGAUGGGCAGUGCCAUGUCCGCGCCCGGAUUCGAACCAACGAAACACUGGGCCGCCUGCAGCGGAGCGCGUGAACCUAACCACUGGGCCACGGGGCCAGCCCCAAAAUCUGCCCAUUUUUAAAUUUUCUGGGAAUGUGCAUGAAUAUGACAGCAAAACAGGUGCAAGAAAGUGGAAGAAGCCCCCAGGCAGGAGGAGGAGUCCUUGGCAAGCAUAUACUCCCUCCUAGAUGCCCACCCUUCUGAGAAGUCUACAUCCUUAAAAAUUCCUAUGCAAGGAUAGCGUUUUCCUGCGUCUCUGACUCAGGUCGAUCCUCAGGAGGCAUUAUGAUGUGGAGGACAUCAGCGGAUUUGAAGUCAUGUAGCCUUUCCGAAGAUCAGCUUUCUUCUAGAAAAU